rnacentral:snRNA from 1 species
AUCACUUCUCGGCCUUUUGGCUAAGAUCAAGUGUA